CGAUUGAGUUUGAUCAUGGCUCAGGAUGAACGCUGGCGGCGUGCCUAAUACAUGCAAGUCGAGCGCGAAGAUCAGGAGCUUGCUCCUGAGAUUCGAGCGGCGGACGGGUGAGUAACACGUAGGCAACCUACCCUUGAGAUUGGGAUAACUACCGGAAACGGUAGCUAAUACCGGAUACGACAUUCCUGCAUAAGUAAGAAUGUUAAAAGGCGGAUUUAUCUGCCGCUCAUGGAUGGGCCUGCGGUGCAUUAGCUAGUUGGUGAGAUAGUAGCUCACCAAGGCGACGAUGCAUAGCCGACCUGAGAGGGUGAUCGGCCACACUGGGACUGAGACACGGCCCAGACUCCUACGGGAGGCAGCAGUAGGGAAUCUUCCGCAAUGGACGCAAGUCUGACGGAGCAACGCCGCGUGAGUGAUGAAGGGUUUCGGCUCGUAAAACUCUGUUGUUAAGGAAGAACACUUGAGGUAGUAACUGGCCUUGAGAUGACGGUACUUAACCAGAAAGCCACGGCUAACUACGUGCCAGCAGCCGCGGUAAUACGUAGGUGGCAAGCGUUAUCCGGAAUUAUUGGGCGUAAAGCGCGCGUAGGCGGUAAAAUAAGUCUGAUGUGAAAGCCCCCGGCUCAACCGGGGAAGGUCAUUGGAAACUGUUUCGCUUGAGUGCAGAAGAGGAGAGUGGAAUUCCAUGUGUAGCGGUGAAAUGCGCAGAGAUAUGGAGGAACACCAGUGGCGAAGGCGGCUCUCUGGUCUGCAACUGACGCUGAUGUGCGAAAGCGUGGGGAUCAAACAGGAUUAGAUACCCUGUAGUCCACGCCGUAAACGAUGAGUGCUAAGUGUUA
rnacentral:rRNA from 1 species